UCCAGAGAGCCUAACCCUUGGAAACAUGUAAGGUAUCAACCAACCUGAAAGGGACGAAUCUGGCGUUACAGCAAACUGCUUAAUUACCCUCUCAAAAAACUCCUACUGAUUCUCACGCCUAUGUGUGAGACUGCUGACCAAUUGAAAACUUUCAGCAACACAAGGCAAACCAUGACAAGAGUUUUAUAUGUAAACGAGUUAUUGCAAGUAAAAAAGCAAGACUGCAGGAACGAUGAUGUCGUUUGCGCUGAAUGAAUAUGCUGUACUCAUGGCAAAUGUAAGGCCACACGGGGUGGAAGGUUUAUAACGAGUGAUGGCCAUUUUCAACGAGUGAUGGCCACCCCGCCCAUAAACAUCAACGCGUUAUAUCAUCACGGCAGCGGAUUUUCGUUAUUUUUAUCACUCCGUUAUUCUUUUGGUUUGUGAGUGUAAUUGUUGGUUGGGGGGAAAUUGUUGGGUGUGGUGGUGAGUGAUGACCACCCCGCCUAAAAAAGGUUGUGAGUGAUGAAAAAAUGGUUGAUGACAUGACGGAACUUGAUUGGUGCUUGUGAGUGAUGGAUUCUAUCACUAGUGAACCACCCCGUGUCCCCUAAGGGAUUUUUGCAGAAAUAAUGCUUCUUUCAAAAACAAAAUCACAACUAAUGCCAUACUCAGAAUUAUUUCACAAUUAGGGUCAAUGCCAUUCAAAAUGGCGAAAUUUCAUGCACCCUAGGGUUGUGUCAGGAAUAUUUAAAUUGUGCAGGAGACAAAUCAUUUGAAAAGGUACCAUAGCCGUUUAUAAUGGGGAAAUCUGCAUGAUUCUGCACAUUAAGCCAUUCCAAAUGGCGAAAAGUUAAAAGUUCUGCACAUUAUGCCAUUGUUAAUAGCGUUUUUUUAAAAGCCUGCCAACAUGUCCUAUAAAGCUGAAAAGCCUGCACAAUAUGUCGUCGUUAAUGGCGAAUUUUUUAAAAGUCUGCACAAAAAGCCAUUCCAAAUGGCGAGAAGCUUGACCAACCAUCACUUGAAUUGCAGGCGGUUGAGGGGGUAGGAGCUCCAUCGUUUAAGUAUCGAGGAGCUGCACCAGCUGGAGAAGUCCCUUGAAGCUGGAUUGGGUCGGGUUGUUGCAAAAAAGUGAUGCAGUGAUCGAAUGAUCAAGCAGACAUAUGGAACUCCUACGUGGCAUGACAAAUUAAAUGCAUAUGUGUCACACCAAGUGGCUUUUGUAGCAACACUUGUGUGAUUUAUAAUGGUGUUUUCUGUAAAUUCCUAAAUGGAUAUCACUACAAAAAGCCACGUAGACUGACACCUGUACAUUCUGUCAUACGUUGCAUUCGCCUGAACUCGAAUUUGCUUGUAAAUUUUGUUUGGUUAUAUUUUUGUCAAAUCAGCGAACUGUUGACUAAAUGUUUAUU